AACGCUGGCGGCAGCCUAAACAUGCAAGUCGAACGGUAACAUGACUAGCUUGCUAGUUGAUGACGAGUGGCGGACGGGUGAGUAACGCGUAGGAAUCUACCCAGUAGCGGGGGAUAAGCCAGAGAAAUUUGGUCUAAUACCGCAUACGCCCUACGGGGGAAAGCAGGGGAUCUUCGGACCUUGCACUAUUGGAUGAGCCUGCGUGAGAUUAGCUAGUUGGUGAGGUAAUGGCUCACCAAGGCGACGAUCUCUAGCUGGUCUGAGAGGAUGAUCAGCCACACUGGAACUGAGACACGGUCCAGACUCCUACGGGAGGCAGCAGUGGGGAAUAUUGCACAAUGGGCGCAAGCCUGAUGCAGCCAUGCCGCGUGUGUGAAGAAGGCCCUAGGGUUGUAAAGCACUUUCAGCAGUGAGGAAAGGUUAGUAGUUAAUACCUGCUAGCUGUGACGUUAACUGCAGAAGAAGCACCGGCUAACUCCGUGCCAGCAGCCGCGGUUAUACGGAGGGUGCGAGC
rnacentral:rRNA from 1 species